GUAACAACUUACAAAAUAACUGGCAUCAGACUGAUGGCUAGACUAGGGCCGUAGCUAGAACGCUAAUUGGGGGGCGGGGGGGGGGGUUAUAUUCAUAUAUUCGUGUUCUGCCGGACGGAUUUCUUUGGAAAUCAAUUGUUUUUACGAUAUGUGAACAUGAAUAUAUGAAUAUACACACCCCCCCCAAUUAUAGUGUCUAGCGCACGGCCCCGGGCUAGACAGAGCUCAUUCAUAGGAGAAAUUACAGGUUAAUGAGUCAAGCUCUGUCAUGUCAAUAGUUAAUAAAUUCUUGAUCAUGCAGGCCAUCUGAA